rnacentral:rRNA from 1 species
AGCGAACGCUGGCGGCAGGCCUAACACAUGCAAGUCGAACGAACUCUUCGGAGUUAGUGGCGGACGGGUGAGUAACAUGUGGGAACGUGCCUUUUGGUUCGGAAUAACUCAGGGAAACUUGUGCUAAUACCGAAUGUGCCCUUCGGGGGAAAGAUUUAUCGCCAUUAGAGCGGCCCGCGUCUGAUUAGCUAGUUGGUGAGGUAACGGCUCACCAAGGCGACGAUCAGUAGCUGGUCUGAGAGGAUGACCAGCCACACUGGGACUGAGACACGGCCCAGACUCCUACGGGAGGCAGCAGUGGGGAAUCUUGCGCAAUGGGCGAAAGCCUGACGCAGCCAUGCCGCGUGAAUGAUGAAGGUCUUAGGAUUGUAAAAUUCUUUCACCGGGGACGAUAAUGACGGUACCCGGAGAAGAAGCCCCGGCUAACUUCGUG